rnacentral:misc_RNA from 1 species
UAUGAAGAACGCAGCGAAAUGCGAUAACUAAUGUGAAUUGCAGAAUUCAGUGAAUCAUCGAGUCUUUGAACGCACAUUGCGCCCCCUGGUAUUCCGGGGGGCAUGCCUGUCCGAGCGUCAUUGCUGCCCUCAAGCACGGCUUGUGUGUUGGGCUCCGUCCCCCCGGGGACGGGCCCGAAAGGCAGCGGCGGCACCGAGUCCGGUCCUCGAGCGUAUGGGGCUUUGUCACCCGCUCUGUAGGCCCGGCCGGCGCCAGCCGACAACCCAUCAUCCUUUUCAGGUUGACCUCGGAUCAGGUAGGGAUACCCGCUGAACUUAAGCAUAUCAAUAAGCGGAGGA